rnacentral:rRNA from 1 species
GUGGGGAAUAUUGGGCAAUGGGGGAAACCCUGACCCAGCAACGCCGCGUGAAGGAAGAAGGCUUUCGGGUUGUAAACUUCUUUUAUGAGGGACGAAGAAGUGACGGUACCUCAUGAAUAAGCCACGGCUAACUACGUGCCAGCAGCCGCGGUAAUACGUAGGUGGCAAGCGUUGUCCGGAUUUACUGGGUGUAAAGGGCGCGUAGGCGGGAUAGCAAGUCAGGUGUGAAAUCCGGGGGCUUAACCCUCGAACUGCACUUGAAACUGUUAUUCUUGAGUGAUGGGGAGGCAAGCGGAAUUCCUAGUGUAGCGGUGAAAUGCGUAGAUAUUAGGAGGAACACCAGUGGCGAAGGCGGCUUGCUGGACAUUAACUGACGCUGAGGCGCGAAAGCGUGGGGAGCAAACAGGAUUAGAUACCCCGGUAGUCC